ACGAACGCUGGCGGCGUGCUUAACACAUGCACGUCGUACGGUAAGGCCCUUUCGGGGGUACACAAGUGGCGAACGGGUGAGUAACACGUGAGUAACCUGCCCACAACUUUGGGAUAACGCUAGGAAACUGGUGCUAAUACUGGAUAUGUGCCCCUGCUGCAUGGUGGGGGUUGGAAAGCUCCGGCGGUUGUGGAUGGACUCGCGGCCUAUCAGCUUGUUGGUGGGGUAGUGGCCUACCAAGGCGGCGACGGGUAGCCGGCCUGAGAGGGUGACCGGCCACAUUGGGACUGAGAUACGGCCCAGACUCCUACGGGAGGCAGCAGUGGGGAAUAUUGCACAAUGGGCGCAAGCCUGAUGCAGCAACGCCGCGUGCGGGAUGACGGCCUUCGGGUUGUAAACCGCUUUCAGCAGGGACGAAGCUUUUUGUGACGGUACCUGCAGAAGAAGCACCGGCUAACUACGUG
rnacentral:rRNA from 1 species